UACGUAGGGGGCAAGCGUUGUCCGGAUUUAUUGGGCGUAAAGCGCUCGCAGGUGGUUCGAUGCGUCGUGCGUGAAAGACCCCGGCUCAACUGGGGAGUGUCGUGCGAUACGGUCGGACUGGAGGCCAGUAGGGGGAUGCGGAAUUCCGGGUGUAGUGGUGGAAUGCGUAGAUAUCCGAAAGAACACCGGUGGCGAAGGCGGCAUCC
rnacentral:rRNA from 1 species